UGAGACCCUGUUCAAAGAGAGACAGAGAUUCAUUUAGUUCACAGAGGUUUUACAUUGUUUUCUAUGGAGGAUAUAAUGAAGUUUUGUGUUUUCAUGGACUUGCUUAAUUACUUUUAUAGAAUAAAUCGAUGAUAAACCCAAGGAAAAGAGCAUAUAGUUCCUGCAGAUGUUCUCCUCUCAGUCAUAUGAAAGUUCAAUUUGUGAGCUUCUAACUUCUAAAUCAUAUGUUAUUAGUUAAAUCUAGAGGCUUUCUUAAUGACCAUGAAGCAUAUCUUGUAGUUUUUUUGUUCAUAUGUGACUCUAACCUUCUAUAUUCAAUGUCAACAAUUCCAAGUGCCAGUAGAGAGGCUGCUGCAUCUGUGCUCUGUGCCAUCUGACUAAAGGCUCGCUGGCUGAGAAUGAAGUCAGUUCGAUCACUGAUUCCAUGGUCAGUUAUGACUACAGUUACUCCUUUAUCCAGGCAAUAAUAACUAAUUUGGGUAAUAACCUGCCCGAGAAUGGAUAAAACAAUCAGGACAGGUCUCAGACUUUCCAAGACUCUGCAUGAAAAGGAAACAUGCAACAGAGAUCAAGAGCCAUCUCAGGGGUGCCAUUUUAGGAGUAAGUUGCAAAUGCAGGGUAGAGGGAUGCAAAUGAAACAAGAAGUUGGUUGCAGAGGAAGUGGAUGAUGAGUUCUGCUGUAUUUAUAGAGCUAAACAAGCAAAUUGCCUCCUGUUCGGUAAAAUCUAUGACUUUGACGUUCUGUUCAAGUUCGAUUUGAAUUAAUGAAUUCUGUCAAGUUGGUACCCAGCAACUUUCUUAGACCACUUUCUGACCUUCCAUAGUUUAUAAUUUUUCAAGGCUGCAGUCUGGAAUCUGCAAAGACUCACUUUUCUU